GGCUUGGUAGCGUAAUGGUAACACGCUCCGUGUACCUAACCUUCUCAUAUCGGCUGACGGAGGGUUUGGAGUUCGAUUCUCCAUCAAGCCA